AAAAAAAAAAUCCUACGUGGCAUAGCUUAUAAACUAUCAUUUCUUAGGGUGAUAAUUUGCACUAAAGAUUUUCGAAAUUAUUGCACUCAUCAAAGAGAGAAGGCAAAUUGCAAGGCGCAAAGGUCUGUCAGGGAGUCCUGCUGUGACACUUUUUUUCGCAGAUGAUAGCAUUGUCUUUGGCGAAGCCACUGAAGAUGGGGGUCAAGACAUUUUGAGGAGACAUGAGAGUGCAUCUGGUCAACAGGUUAACUUCUAAAAGUCCUUGAUUUUUUUCAGUUCCAAUGUUCCUGAAGACACUUGUAAUCAGGUUACGCAUCAGUUGGGUGUCAGAAGAGCAUUUUGCAUGGAACGCUACUUGGGUCUCCCAACCAUGGUGGGAAUGAGGGAAAAAAGAAGAAGCUUUUUAGCAGAUUUGUGAUCGGAUGAGGGCGAAAGUUAAUAGUUGGGAUGCUCGGCUGUUGUAGUAUUACAAGCACUUCCAACGUACUCUAUGUCGUGUUUCUUGCUACCCAAGACUUUGUGCUCGGAUUUAGACAAGAUUAUGAAUUGAUUUUGGUGGCAGAAAAGCUCGAGUCGGAAAGGAAUGCACCGGAGUAAAUGGGCCGAUUUGUGUUUGCCAAAAGAGAGUGAAGGUAUGAGUUUCUAUGAUUUCUGUAAAUUCAAUAUUGCACACCCUUCGUAUGUUUGAAAAAGCAUAUAUGCGUCACGAAAAUUUGCUGGAAGACAGGAUUGGUUCGAGAGUGGGAUCUGACACCCAAAAUUCAGUUUGGAGAGAUAGAUGGCUUCCGCGAUGAGCUGGUGGACAAAUUCAACAAACAAGAGUUCAUGGGAAUAUAGAAAGGGUGGCAGAUUUGAUAGAUCACUCGUCUAAAAGUUGGAAGGGCUCAUUACCAGUACUUUUACUCCUGAUGAAGCUGCAGCCAUUCGGUGUAUUCCCUUAUCCAAAAGGGUUGAUGUUGACAAGAUUGUUUGGUGGGGUGAGAAUAGAGGAGAAUACUCUGUCCGGAGAGGCUAUAGAACUCUAAUCAGCAACCAGAUGACAGUGGACGACAUACGUGGGAGCAGAGAAAUUAACAAAAAACUCUGGCAAUUACAGAUUCCUCCUAAAAUAAAAAUUGCAAACAGGCAAAUACUACAUAAUUACAUCCCUAAAGCCUAUAUUCUAUACAAAAAAAGGAUUGCGGCCUCCUCGACAUGUCCCAGAUAUGGCGGUGAGCCUGAAACAUCGAUGCAUGUCAUGACAAGGUGUGGCCCUGCAAAAGAGGCAUGAGAUUUAAUUAGUAUUGGUUGGCCUUCGAGUCUUAAUACUGAUUAUAUAUGGGCCUGGUUUGACUUUGUUUUAAAGCAUGGAAGUAAUUAUACCUGCAAAGUUGUAGCGAUCACAGUUUGGGCAAUUUGGCAUGCUCGAAACAAGCAGGUCAUGCAAGGCAAGCAACAAACAGCUCAGGAUAUUACUAUCAGAGUGGCUAGUCUAGUACGGGAGUUUGAUGAGAUAAACCGGAAAUUACUUGACCAGAGAGAGACCAUGAAAACUCACUAGAAACCUCCACAGGACCCAAACGUAAAAGCGAACUUUGAUGCAGCGUUCAAACCGCAAAUACACCAAUUGUGCUCUAGGUUCGUUAUCAGGAAUGAGAUAGGGUUAAUAGUGGGCAGUGGUGCAGUUAAGAAUGAUUAUAUCUCAAACUCUUUUUCUCCUGGAGCUAUAGCAUGUAUCCAAGCUCUAAAGUUUGCGGAAGAGAUGGGAUUUAGACAGCUUGGAGUGGAGGGCGAUUCCCAAAUUAUAAUCGUGAAAAUCAACCAAGGCGUAGUAGACAGAUCUAAUAUGGUUGUCUAUAUUGAGGAGAUUAAAGCUAUGGCAACAUGCUUUCAAAGGAUUUCCUUCAAGCAUGCAGACAAAAAUGCUAAUGGUGUAGCUCAUAUAAUCGCCCAGUAGAGAUUUAAUUUGACUGAAAAUACGUUUUGGGUUGAGGAGGUACCUCUAGAGGCAGUCGAAGCGGUGAAUCAAGAUAAUCAAAUUCCGACUCCUUCAAAUUGAAGCAAGAUGAUCUCUUCCCAGCUAAUGCAUGGCUGUUAUGCGAUCCGAAAAUGGGUUAUGAAGCUUCGAGAUUUCUUUCUGGUUUUGUGUUUUUUACUGUUUCGACCCUUCAGCUCACCCGGGCUACCCAGAUAUUUAUUUUGUUUAUGGUAUUUAUUAAAUGUUAUGUUUUGGUUUUGUUUAUUAAUAAAUAAUAUCUUGGUAUUUUCUUUCAAAAAAAAAAGAAAAAAAACUAUUUACUAUAAUUUAAAAAAAAUCAAUUCUAAGGCAAAUUCCUUAUAAGAAAUAUAGUGAUAAUUUUGGAAUAAAAAAAUCCAUAUAUUUUGUUAAUAUUUCCAACAUUCUCAUUGUAUAAUAAAAAGUAUUGUAUUGUAUUGUAUUAUAUUUAGUAUAAAAA
rnacentral:lncRNA from 1 species